CGUGAGAUGUUGGGUUAAGUCCCGCAACGAGCGCAACCCCUAUUGUUAGUUGCUACGCAAGAGCACUCUAGCGAGACUGCCGUUGACAAAACGGAGGAAGGUGGGGACGACGUCAAAUCAUCAUGCCCCUUAUGUCCUGGGCUACACACGUAAUACAAUGGCGGUCAACAGAGGGAUGCAAAGCCGUAAGGUGGAGCGAACCCCUAAAAGCCGUCCCAGUUCAGAUUGUGGGCUGCAACCCGCCCACA
rnacentral:rRNA from 1 species